GUCGAGCUCACGCUCUGACUCAUGUCAACAACCUGCUGGGAAGCGAGUGAGCGAGCGAGGAGGCGGCUGCCGCCCUUGUCUAGUUGGCGUCGUGACCUCCGCUUUGAUGGAGCGAUGCUGGCAACACUUUGUGCCUGUCAUCAAGAAAGAGAAGAUGAAGACGCAGUUGACCCUGGACGCCGCGGAGACGUGCUGCGAGAGCGAAAAGAUCAAAGCUGAUGAUGUGCCCCGGGGCUGGCAUACAGAUGAUGAAUUAAAGGAGAUCCAGAACAGACCCCUGGGGAACCUCAGGGAGGAAAAGAGUGCCACAGGACGUCACAUUUCAAAACAUACCAGACAAGAACCUGUUGGAAUAGAAAGAUAAGAAAUGCUGUGAGAUGGACAGAACAAAACCCAAGGACACAGGCAGCGUCUGUGUCGUCACAGCUGGUAGCAUCCUGCUGACAAAAGCCUGAUUUUAGGUUUGCACACAAGUGCUUCAAGUCAUUUCACACGUUCCCUGUGACCCUGCUCCAAUUACUGGUGACAAGUGUCUUUUGACAGAUUUGGCCUCUAACCAGGAUUUUACAAUAAGCUGAGCGGAUAGUGCUGGUAGGAGCUUUAAUACCACCAUCAUAAGUAAUAACUACAUUUUACUUACACUGCUGUGUGUUUUAGAUUUCUGGCCAUUUGAAUGUCCGAUUGUUGUAAAGUGGAUAAUUGUACUCCAAUUCCCAAAGCAUUCAUAUGGUGUGGCAUUUAAAAUUACAAGGCUCAUAAAAUCCAUGGCUUCAUCAUCCCUGCAGCAGUGCUGCAGAUCUUGCUCGUGCUCAGAAAAAGAGGCACAGAGCAUUAGAGCCUGUUCUACUGUAAUAGAAUCAUUUGCAUAGUAAGUACUGUAAAAAGACCCCUUCAGAAUCCGACUAGAUAUGGUUUUAAAGCUUACCAAUCACCACAAUAUUGUUGUUGAAGGUUGACACCAUACACCAGUGGAAACAAUAGAGAACAAAGCCCAGUUCUCCACGCGUUCUUGUUUUAUGGAUAAUACAGUAUAAAUCUUCAGACUUUGGGAAUUGGGAAUGAUUAGUGGGUCAACUCCUGGCAUUCGUUAACUUAUUUACCUUUGGCAGGAUAAUUUCCCCAGCUGACAGUGUCAGAGGUCCAAUAGAGCAAAUUCCCAGUUCCUCAGAAGUAUAAGCAUAUCAGCAUGGUUUUUAAUUUGCUAGUGGCCUCGUGUUGCUCUUCUUGGGCUCUGAAGGCCCGUUAACCUGGUUGUGGACAGUUUGCAACACAUUAAUACUGUUUGCUGCUGUGAUUCUGGACCAGGUUAGCGCAGUGUAAUGAUUAAAACCAUCCUCAUCAGCC
rnacentral:lncRNA from 1 species